rnacentral:lncRNA from 1 species
GAUUGACAUGUCCUCAUGAUUAAACCUCCAACAACCAACUAAGACCUACUAUUGAGAAUAAUUAAGACAAACACGUCAAAUUAGGUUUCUCCCAUGUCCUCAACAACGUAACGAACUACAAGCAUAAGUAGGGGCAUAUGGAUAAGAAUAGACAUAUGAAUUUAUAUAUCUUACACCAAAUAAAACACAAGGCAUCAACUACUAGAAACAACAAUUAACACUGGGAAGUAAUUGCAGUGACAAAUCUACACAAAUUGCAUAAGGAUGAUAGUGGAGAUGAAGAUGGAUAUGGUGCUAUAGGUGGAGACGAGCUUCCACGACUUGCAUUCCUUUUUAUUAGUAUAGCCGCCUGCACAUGGAUCCGAAAAUACAGUGUUAGGCAUUAACAUUUACUUUCUCCAUCCUUAUUUUUACUAUUAUUUCGUCAUACAAGAUUUAACUUUGAUAAUUAAUUUCACCACUAAUACAUGAGUGAUUUCUUAAAACAAAAUAGACUUUUUCUAAUACGAAUUCAACGGUAUAAUUUGUGUGGGCACAUAAAACACGUUCAGUUAGCCAAACUAAUGGUCAUGUUUAAAUCUCGAAAAACAUCUGCGGCACAUAAACUGGGACAGAGAGAGUAGGAAAAGAUUUGGUGAAUCAGGGUACACCUACACCCUCAAUCUAGCCAUCCAUUUCAUGCUUUGGGAUUCGUAUGCACAAAUUUCUCUUUUUGUUUAGUUUUUAUGAAGUGAGGAUAGUGAUCAAGCACCGAUCUUAGUGCAAAACUAGACAACACAGAUAUAGGGUGCACCUACACCCUGGUUUAGAAAGUCCGAUUGAAAAAGAUGUGGCUGAACCAGAUGUCAGGUGUCAGGUGUGGUAGUUUGAUAUAGAUGAAAAAAAAGUGUAAACGUCACCCCAUCCAACAUAUUAAAGCCCUAAUUGAUUUACGCUUUUAUUCAUAGAGAUGCAAAUAUUAUAUAAUGAAGUUCUAAACAUUUCCAAAGCGGCAUGUGGAGGAGGACAGCGGGUGGCCAUCGUCACCCGAGUUAACCCAUGCAAACUGCGUGCAUCCCAUGAGUUAACCCCUGCGCUGAUUGGAAUGCUACGAGCACUUGAGUGAGUAUACAACAGUAUGACAUUAGCUUACGUAAGGAGUGCCAUGAAGAAUUUAGUGGUGAGGUAGAACCGUAGAAGAAAGAGAAUGAACGAGAGUUAUAAUUGCCUGUAAUUCUACAGAGAUCCCAUAAAACAAUUAUAGGCAACACACACAAUAGCAAAAUGUAUGUGUUACCUAUAAUUUGAGAUGUAACUAACAAUCUGUCCAAACCAAUGAAAAAAUAGCGUGCUAUGACAAAAUAGUAUGGCCCUUAAAAUACAUUAGUAGCGUAAUGUAACGUGCUAUAACAUGCCAUUACCGAGAUAUUGCACACUGAUUUAUUUACUGAGAUACUGCUCAAAACACUAUAGCGUAUUAUUAGCAGCGCUAUAGCGCUAUUUUUUCACUGUUCCAAGCAAUCGUAAAUGCCCUCAGGCACACUCACAGCUAGCAACUAGCGCUGCCAGUGAAUUUCUGUUAUGACAUUCCUACUUUCUCUGCUGUAAAUUCUUCUGUAAAAGUACCUUAGAGAUGAUGGAUCAUUGAGCAGCAUGUGACUGGUACUAACUUCCGAGAUGUACAGAAUACACGGUUCAAAUUAGUUAGGUCAAUACCAAGGAGCAGUGGACUGUGUCGUAUAACUGUGUCUCCAACUCUUAUCAUUUCACUAAACAAAGGGACAUGGGCAGUAAAAAUAGUAUUAAAUCUUGCACUUGAGAUGCUUGCUUACAGAAAGUAUCCGGAUCGAGGUCGUCGGCCAGCACGAUCAUCAGUUCCAGGAUCACCAGCAGCAGUAGCAGCAGUGGCGGCGGCGGUCUAAUAGACCUAGACCACAUCUUCUUCUCACCUAGGUCGCUAAACACGGCCUAAACAAAAAUAGCGUUAGCUGUUCACUCAGUCGAGGAUUCGAGGCGUCGGUCUAGCUGAUAUAUAUGUUCGGUACUCCGGUUCUUAUGGAUGACCUUAUAGAUAAGUCCAUCGCCA